GACGAACGCUGGCGGCGUGCUUAACACAUGCAAGUCGAACGGUAAGGCCCCAGCUUGCUGGGGUACACGAGUGGCGAACGGGUGAGUAACACGUGGGUGACCUGCCCCGCACUUCGGGAUAAGCCUGGGAAACUGGGUCUAAUACCGGAUAGGACCGCACCGUGAGGGUGUGGUGGAAAGUUUUUCGGUGUGGGAUGGGCCCGCGGCCUAUCAGCUUGUUGGUGGGGUAAUGGCCUACCAAGGCGGCGACGGGUAGCCGGCCUGAGAGGGUGGACGGCCACAUUGGGACUGAGACACGGCCCAGACUCCUACGGGAGGCAGCAGUGGGGAAUAUUGCACAAUGGGCGGAAGCCUGAUGCAGCGACGCCGCGUGGGUGAUGACGGCCUUCGGGUUGUAAACUCCUUUCACCAUCGACGAAGGUUUUCUGACGGUAGAUGGAGAAGAAGCACCGGCGAACUACGU
rnacentral:rRNA from 1 species